rnacentral:misc_RNA from 1 species
UUUUAAAGUAAAAUGUAGCUGGAGUACCCUUUUAUAUUUCAUUCGACAACUACUGGGUCAUUUUCUAGCGUAGCAUUCUUCAUAUUACUUUGAAGAUAAAAUAUGAGCUAGUACUUUAAUAAUAACAUGUCAAAGCUUCUCACAAUAUUAAUGCUGCAAUCUAUCAUGUAACUAAGCCAUCAUUUAGACAACAGCUCAAGUGAUUUCACGAUGCCUUUCUGAGUUAUUGAAACCUCCUGAAAAGACCUGAGGUGCAAAGACCUACAUGUCAACUGUAAUCUUUGCAUCCAGCUGAGAGAACUCUUGGAAAAAUGCCUUGAAAUGCUCGUAGGAAUACUUGACAUCAUCAACUGCACACAUCUCCCGGAUACUGUGCAUUGAAAACUGUGGGGCACCUACAUCAACUGUACGAAUUCCUACACCACUUGCAAGGAUUGGACCUAUGGUCGAACCACAAGGCAUGUCAUUGCGGACCACAAAAUCCUGAACAGGAAGGUUAUGCUUUGAUGCUAUCUCUCCAAAUAAAAAGGAAGUAACCGAAUUGGUUGCAUAGCGUUGAUUUGCAUUGUGUUUGAUCACGAGCCCUCCAUGCAUCUUGGGCUGAUGAUUAUCCUCAUGUUUGUCCAUAUAAUUGGGAUGAAAGGCAUGUGCCAUGUCAGCAGAUACAAGGAAACUCAUCUGAAUUGCUUUUUGAAGCAGCUGAAAAGAAAUCAAAGAAACAAAAACAAGUAUGUUUAUAAACAUAAACACAAAUCAUUGAAUUACAGUUGCAUUCUAGGACUAUUAUGCAGGUCAAUGUGAUGAGAAUCUCCCAUCUUUAUAGCAUAUGCAGAUUCUACAUAUUGGCCCAACAGAUAUUAUAACCCUUGUCUAGGAGAAUUGACUACCUGCAGCAAUCCAUGAAAAUUAGCCAAGAUAUUUAGAAGCAACACUUCAAUAAUCUCAGUUAAUAUUUUGUAUCCUAAAUUCCCAAUUGUAAAGUAUGAAAUGACAUAUAUACUGGAAUUCAAAAUUUACAAAUUGGCCCCCUAAUAGAAUAGAAGUGGAUUAAAUUUUUUUUCCUUCAAAAAACCCACAAUCAGAAAGGGAGCACCUUAGAAUCUGAGUUGAAGGAAUUUGUGAUCCGUGAUAGAGCAUCUAACAUGACAGGAGACCCAGCUCCUUGUGCUGAAUCAGAUCCAACCUCCUCAUGAUCAAACAAUGCCACCAUUCUAACACCACUCUCAUUCUCAAGAUCGUCUUUUGAAGAUGUAGUAUCUAUCAGUGCCUUUAGAGAGCAAAAUGACAUGCAAAGAUUAUCGAGCCUUCCAGAGAAAAUAAAUUCUUUAACAGCACCACCUAUUAUACUCGGUUGGGUAUCACAUGCUUGUAAUUCAAAAUCACAUAUAUCAUCUGGUUUGCAGCCAAUCUGACUUGCAAUCAUCUCUAGUAGAAUUGAGUGAUGCUUUGAGUAAAUGGUAGAUUUCUUCCCAUCAGUUUCAUUUCCGAUGGGACCAUUUUCCUCAACCACUUUAUUGAGCUCUGCCUUAACAGAAGUUGCCAAUAUAGGAAUAAGAUGAUUCUGUGUGUUCACCUUAAACCCAUCAUUAUUGACGUUCCUGUAUACAGGAUAUAAACAAGAAAUGCCAAAACCCAGGAUGAGAGCUGAGAGCUUACAAUCCUAAAACCUAAACCCAUAAAAUAAAUAUAUAAAUAAAUAUAUAAGUACUAAGGGAAACAGGAAAACACUUGCGGUCUAUAAAUAGAUUAAAAAGAAAGCAUUACUCAUGACAAAGUAUAUUUAUUUAUCAAUGUAACCUGUCUAAGUGAAUUGCCAGGGUGGGCACACGCAUAAUGGGCUCCUCGAUUCUAACCAGACGAUGUGAAAAGGAAAUAGAGCCAUCCUUUUCUUCUCUUACUAUCACCCGUCCUGCCACUGCCAAAUCACGAUCAAACCAUGUAUGCCAUAAACCACUUCCAUAUAGCUGAACUCCAACCUCCAAAAACCCACCCUUCGUUACCUUGGAAAUAGGCUUCAACUUAAUGCAAGGACUAUCAGUGUGAGCACCAACCACAUAAAAUCCAUUUCCAGCAACGUAUCUUUUACCAAUGGCAAAUGCAACAAUGGUAGAGUGAUUCCUAGUGAAGAAAUAUCGCUUGCCGGGUUCCAGCUUCCAAUCUUCUCUCUCAGAAACUUGCACGUAUCCAACAUUUAUCAAACGCCUCUUUGCCUCAUCAACGGCGUGAAAAGCUGUAGGAGAAGCGUUUAAGUAGUGGAUGAGAUCGGAGGCAACAGAGCUCGCUUCACUGUAAGUUUCUUGCUUCGCCAUUUUUUAAAGAAAAAUAAAUAUUAAUUUGGAUUGAUAGCUUGAAACAAUAGACUUAGUAAUUGUCAACGAAGAAAGUGGACUAGGGUACAUAUAGGGCCUAAGGCCCACUGUGGGCAUCUCGUACAGGUUAAGUAUGGCACAAAGCUUAUGGAAUUUGUCCUCGCAAAGAUUAAAAAAAUUCGAAGGCUUUGUCUCAUAUUUCAAAGGGAUAAUUUUGGUUCCUAACUAUAAUAUGCAAAGGAGCUAGAAUGCCUAAAC